GGAGGGUGCGAGCGUUGUUCGGAAUCACUGGGCGUAAAGCGCGUGUAGGCGGCCCACUAAGUCUGAUGUGAAAGCCCGGGGCUCACCCCCGGAAGUGCAUUGGAAACUGGUGGACUCGAGUCCCGGAGAGGAGAGUGGAAUUCCUGGUGUAGCGGUGAAAUGCGUAGAUAUCAGGAGGAACACCGGUGGCGAAGGCGGCUCUCUGGACGGUGACUGACGCUGAGACGCGAAAGCGUGGGGAGCAAACAGGAUUAGAUACCCUGGUAGUCCACGCCGUAAACGAUGAGCACUAGGUGUCGCGGGUAUUGACCCCUGCGGUGCCGACGCUAACGCAUUAAGUGCUCCGCCUGGGGAAUACGGCCGCAAGGUUA
rnacentral:rRNA from 1 species